UAUGGCCACAUCACGUUUAAAGUACCAGUUCCUGUAUGGUCACCAAAGUUAAGCAACGUCAAGUCUGGUCAGUAUCUAGAUGUGUGACCGCUUGGGAAUACUAAGUGCUGUAAG